CCCUGGCAGUCAGAGGCGAUGAAGGGCGUGCUAAUCUGCGAUAAGCGCCGGUAAGGUGAUAUGAACCGUUAUAACCGGCGAUACCCGAAUGGGGAAACCCAGUGUGAUUCGUCACACUAUCAUUAACUGAAUCCAUAGGUUAAUGAGGCGAACCGGGGGAACUGAAACAUCUAAGUACCCCGAGGAAAAGAAAUCAACCGAGAUUCCCCCAGUAGCGGCGAGCGAACGGGGAGGAGCCCAGAGCCUGAAUCAGCAUGUGUGUUAGUGGAAGCGUCUGGAAAGGCGCGCGAUACAGGGUGACAGCCCCGUACACAAAAGCGCAUGUGCUGUGAGCUCGAUGAGUAGGGCGGGACACGUGGUAUCCUGUCUGAAUAUGGGGGGACCAUCCUCCAAGGCUAAAUACUCCUGACUGACCGAUAGUGAACCAGUACCGUGAGGGAAAGGCGAAAAGAACCCCGGCGAGGGGAGUGAAAAAGAACCUGAAACCGU
rnacentral:rRNA from 2 species